AGGGUUUGAUCAUGGCUCAGGACGAACGCUGGCGGUGCGCCUUAUGCAUGCAAGUUGAGCGAAGCUUUUUGGUAGUUUACUACGAGAAAUGACUGAGCGGCGAACGGGUGAGUAACGCGUGAGCAAUCUACCUUAGUUACUGGGAUAGCCCGAGGAAACUCGGAUUAAUACCGGAUAUUCUUAUUUUUUCACAUGAAGUUUUAAGGAAAGGUCAGCCGAACUAAGAUGAGCUCGCGUUCUAUCAGCUAGUUGGUGGGGUAAAAGCCUACCAAGGCUACGACGGAUAGCUGGUCUGAGAGGAUGAUCAGCCACACUGGGACUGAGACACGGCCCAGACUCCUACGGGAGGCUGCAGCAGGGAAUAUUGUGCAAUGAGCGAAAGCUUGACACAGCGACACCGCGUGUGGGAUGACGGUUCUAGGAUUGUAAACCACUUUCAGGAGGGGAGAAAAUGACGGUACCUCCACAAGAAGACUCGGCCAACUAUGUGCCAGCCGCCGCGGUAAUAC
rnacentral:rRNA from 1 species